rnacentral:lncRNA from 1 species
CAAUGAUGGUUUUGAUAACUUACAAGCAGAAUUCAUUUCUAUAGCAUAUAUAUUUCUUUUGGUUCGCAGAAAAUCUGCAUACUAAAGCUGAUUUUUGUCUUGCUUACUAUAAUUUUUACCGUCUACAGUAAAAAAAUAAGUGACGUGCAAUUUACUUUCUUUAAUAGUGGAAAAGUAGAAGACUUUAACUUGAUUCAUGAAUAUGUGAUAAAUAUAUGAGCUUAUUGCAAUUCGCACCCCUAGACUUCGGCCCAAAAACACUUUAGUAUGCAAACUUUGGAUAAUUGCACGUCGCCACCCACUGGUAUUUUGUGCACGGCAACAUGCACCCCUUCCGUCAAAAUUUAACGGUUCCGUUAAAAAAUUAAGGGCAAUUGUGGCAUUUAAAAAAUUAAAAUACAAACCCAUUAUUAAUGGCUUAAUUAGACAGUAUCUGUGUUCCAGCAUGAAGAAAGUUUCUAAAAUCAUCGAUUAUUUUGCUACCUCUGUCAACUUCUUCUAUCCUAGUCUCUGAAGAGCUGUCGUUUCUAGACCUUGGGGUGGCAGAUGAUUUACCAGAAGAUAGACCCAACCGAAGCUCAAGACCAUUGGUCAUCCUCCAUUUGGAAGUGACACAAAGUGUUCAAUAUGAUUCACAGAAAAUAAUCAAGUUUCAAAAUUGCAGCUUCAAGUGAAGCAUUACCUUGAUGGUCAACGAUGUCAACUUUGAAAGUCUACAGACCAUCAAAAUUGAACUGCGGCAUGAGAGAAAGCUUUAUUAAAGACUAACUUUAGUCUUUUGCAUCAAAACAUUUAAUUAAAUACAUACAAGAUUUAAUCAUCAAGCACCAGUUGUAUUAAACUAGCCCAGUGGUAGUUACUGUAGUUUUAAAUCUCUUCAUAAUUCACAUAAAAAUUACAGGUAUACAAAUAUAGAAAACAAACUCCGUUGGGUAUCACCCACAGAAAAUGUUAUCGAAUCACUUAAUACACCAAUAUCCUCUUCAUUCUCCCCACAUCAUCAAUCCCAUUGUUGCAGCGUGUAAUAUUCUAGUAAAUUAGGGCUUAUAUAAAGUAAAAUGGAGAAGAGGGUAGAUGAAAACUUGAUUUCUCAUUUUACCCCCGCUAAAGUAACGUUAAAUAUGAAUAUUUAACGGAGAUUGACGGAAGGGGUGCACAAAAUACCAGUGGGUGGCGAAGUACAAUUAUCUAAAGUUUGCAUGCUAAAGUGUUUUUGGGCCGAAGUCUAGGGGUGCGAAUUGCAAUAAGCUCUAAAUAUAUAGUCAAAAUAUUGUGGUACAUGAGCAAUUGUGAAUUUUCAAGUAGAAUAUUACUCAUUCCAUUCCAGUCCAUUAUAUGUUGUGUUUGGUUGGGGAGAAUGAAUAUGGAAGGAAUGGACAAAUGUUUAUAAAUUUCAUUCUUCCUCCAUUCCAUUCCUUGCACCCUAUACUAGAGAUCAAAUCCCUAAUUUGGGAAGCAAUGGAACAUUUCUUCCUAUACUCAUCUUCUUUUCAAAUCUCAUCAUAAAAAUUUUGUACUCACUAACUUUUCAUUUAUUUUGUCAUUCCAUUCCAUUCUCCCCAACCAAAUUAGAGUUUCAGCUUCGUUACUAUUUAAGUUGAAUUAGAAUAUCACUAUAUGCUAAUAGAUUUGCUGCAGCUUAUUAAUUGUUUAGCCUAGUAUCUCCAGUUGUUUGUACAUACUUAUAAGUUUAAGGCAUUAGUUUUCAUUGCAUGCUGAGUGUUGACAUUGCAGAAAACAGUUCAGAAGUACUCAAAAACGGUGAACAUAAAACUUCCUUGGCAGAAGAUCUUGGAAGAAGGUCGUGUUGUAUUUGAUGAGACUCGUACUCCAACUGAUCUCAAGGAUAAGUGGAAGAACAUUUUGUCUAAAGAGCCUCGCUUUAAAAUAUCUUAAAAAGCAUAUUUUUAUGAAAUUAUUGGUUUUAUGCACCUAAAAUACAGUUUGUAUCAGGAGAAUGGGAUUAAGGUGUUUAGAUCUCAUUUUUAGUGUAUAUACAGCAAGGUAGGUUUUUGAUGCUCAGCUGGCUCUUACAGCAGUCUUAAGUAUAAACCAGUAGUAAGAAGUUUUUCUGUAAUUUCAUGAAUAUGAGAUGGCGUCCUAAACUUUCAGACGAUAAGUGUUUACAUGUUGGUUAUGAAAUUAUGCAACAAAGCUUGGACAGGCAUUAACUAAUUUCUGGAAAGGUAUCAAUUAUCAU